UGAAGUUAAAUAACGUACUUGUGAUUUUUAUGUGAGAUUAUGAAAAUGAUUUUCUACCCCUCGUAGUAGCUGGUUUUUAAAGAAAAAGGUUUCCGUGCGAAAAAUGGUUUUAAAAAGAAUUUUUCAAUUUUCAUGAUUUUUAGUAUUUCAAAAUAAGUUUCUGAGUGGGAAACGUUUUAAACUAAUAGAUGUGGAUAUAUGAUGAAAAAAUAUAAACUUGUGAUUGAAUGAAUGUGAAUUGGUUGAUGUGAUGUGGUGAUUGUAUAUGAAUGUUUAUACACUGUGGUUGUAUCUUGUACUUGCGCGACGCCGUACAAAUACAGAAAAGAUUCUGUCCGUGUGAACAGUGGGUUUUCUGUAUUUGUGGCGGAUCUGAUAUCCCCUGGGAUCAAGGCUUUCAAAAAAAAAAAAAAUUGGGCACUUCCGUAUUGAUUUUAAAACUUCAAAGGGACCUCGGGGCGUGACACUCACCGUACUCUCUAUUCCAAAAGCAUCCCAAAGAUUGCUUUUAUACUGCAUCCUCUAAAACGUACGCGAAUCCUAGUCCGAUUAAAAUUCCUACUCCAAUUAAUAUUUAAAUCUAUAUUGAUUUAUCUCCAAUAGAUUUAAAUAUUUAUCCUAAUCUAGUUAAAUUUAUACUCUAAUUAAUAUUUAAAUCUUAAUUUAUCUCCAAUAGAUUUAAAUAUUAAUCCUAAUCCAAUUAGAAAAUUAACUACAAAUCUAACCAAAUCCUAACAUAAUCUAUUU
rnacentral:lncRNA from 1 species